GAUGGAUCAUGUCAGGGUUCAUCCUAAAUUUUUACAUUCCAAUGCAACCAGUCAUAAGUGGGCUCUUGGAGCAUUUGCGGAACUUUUAGACAACUCAUUGGAUGAGGUUUGCAAUGGAGCAACAUAUGUUAAUAUUGAUAUGCUUGAAAGUAGGAAGAACGGAAGCAGAAUGCUUUUGAUUGAAGAUAAUGGUGGUGGAAUGGAUCCAGAUAAAAUGCGACAAUGCAUGUCCUUGGGGUAUUCUGCAAAAAGCAAAGUGGCCAACACCAUUGGACAGUAUGGCAAUGGAUUUAAGACUAGCACCAUGAGGCUUGGAGCAGAUGUUAUUGUAUUCUCACGUUGUCGUGGGAAAGAUGGAAAAAGUCCUACGCAGAGCAUUGGGUUACUGUCAUACACCUUCCUCAAGAGCACAGGAAAAGAAGAUAUUGUGGUACCCAUGCUUGACUAUGAAAGAAAAGGGGGAGAAUGGAACAAGAUGACACGAGUCUCUAGUGGUGAUUGGAACAGAAAUGCAGAAACAUUAGUUCAAUGGUCCCCAUUUUCCAGUGAGGCAGACCUCCUUCGUCAGUUUAAUCUGAUGUCAGAUCAUGGGACAAGAAUAAUAA
rnacentral:misc_RNA from 1 species